AUAAUCAAACCAAACAGACCAGACCCUCAUCCAGAUGGCUCAGCUCCCUUGUUAAAUGUUGGCACUGACACCACGUGCUAUGCACAAUUCGUGGGAUUCACCUGGAUACACAGCAACAGGAUAAACAGUCUUCAUGUGCACCAGAGCUGAAAACCCUCUGGAGGUGCCUUCAUGAGUGGAGAUGGACUGAGGCGAGUGGUUUGACAGGGAAAUGACAUGCGACUGAGCUAAGCUGAGCAACACUUCAGGGUGAAAAGGAAUCACUAUUCUUUGAAGCGAGAGUGAAGAGAGGUGAGAAAUCACAGACUUGCUUCUUGACUGACCUGCUGCGGGGCUGGCUAAUAUAUCCAGGCUCCCAAAUGAUGGGAUGACCUUUCCACCUCAGCCAGGACUCCAGCGUCACUCACAGCAUGAAGUGAAAACUCAUCUCCUUGCUAAACACUUCACAUCGCUCUCCUCUCUGCCUCCCUCCUCCACUUGCAUCUGAUUUGAAUCCUGCCUUACAAGAAAGGGGAAGUCCCAGAGUGGUUCCCUUCAUCCAGGCACUGAAGACAAGAUCCUGUCAAAAGCUCAGCUGGAGUCCAGUCCGAAGGCUCUCUGUGGCCUGGUCUUGCUCCCUGACAUGGUGGAGCUGCAGCAGAGAAACCACAUAGGAAUAAUUCUGUCCUCGGGGGAAAGAGAAUCAAGCUUCUGUGGAACAGACGACUUCCUCAGAGACCUGCGGAUGAAUGGAGAGGAGAGGAGAGGAGAAGAGGAGAGGAGAGGAGUUCAGCUAUUGAUGAGUUUUUCUCUCCCACGGCCCUCCACCGUGCAGCCCCUGGCCGUCUGGACACCCGCCACGUGUGAACAAGCUUUCAGCUCGCAUCAUCUUCUCCACUUCCAGCUAUAAUUGGCCAUAUGUGUCACCAGCACCCUGCUGCUGCUGCCGCUGCUGCUGCUGGAGGGAGAGAACG